rnacentral:rRNA from 1 species
GAUGAACGCUGGCGGCGUGCCUAAUACAUGCAAGUCGAGCGAACAGAUAAGGAGCUUGCUCCUUUGACGUUAGCGGCGGACGGGUGAGUAACACGUGGGUAACCUAUCUAUAAGACUGGAAUAACUCCGGGAAACCGGGGCUAAUGCCGGAUAACAUGUUGAACCGCAUGGUUCUACAGUGAAAGGCGGCUUUGCUGUCACUUAUAGAUGGACCCGCGCCGUAUUAGCUAGUUGGUGAGGUAACGGCUCACCAAGGCAACGAUACGUAGCCGACCUGAGAGGGUGAUCGGCCACACUGGUACUGAGACACGGUCCAGACUCCUACGGGAGGCAGCAGUAGGGAAUCUUCCGCAAUGGGCGAAAGCCUGACGGAGCAACGCCGCGUGAGUGAUGAAGGUCUUCGGAUCGUAAAACUCUGUUAUUAGGGAAGAACAAAUGCGUAAGUAACUGUGCGCGUCUUGACGGUACCUAAUCAGAAAGCCACGGCUAACUACGUG